rnacentral:rRNA from 1 species
UGGGGAAUAUUGCACAAUGGGGGAAACCCUGAUGCAGCAACGCCGCGUGAGUGAAGAAGUAUUUCGGUAUGUAAAGCUCUAUCAGCAGGGAAGAAAAUGACGGUACCUGACUAAGAAGCCCCGGCUAACUACGUGCCAGCAGCCGCGGUAAUACGUAGGGGGCAAGCGUUAUCCGGAUUUACUGGGUGUAAAGGGGGCGUAGACGGCGAUGCAAGUCUGAAGUGAAAUACCCGGGCUCAACUUGGGAACUGCUUUGGAAACUGUAUGGCUAGAGUGCUGGAGAGGUAAGCGGAAUUCCUAGUGUAGCGGUGAAAUGCGUAGAU